GGGUCAGUGACCGAGUGGUUAAAGGUGGCAGACUGUAAAUCUGCUGGCAGUAGCCUACGGUGGUUCGAAUCCAUCCUGGCCCA
rnacentral:tRNA from 1 species